GAUGAAGAACGCAGCGAAAUGCGAUAAGUAAUGUGAAUUGCAGAAUUCAGUGAAUCAUCGAAUCUUUGAACGCACAUUGCGCCCGCCAGUAUUCUGGCGGGCAUGCCUGUUCGAGCGUCAUUACAACCCUCAGGCCCCCGGGCCUGGCGUUGGGGAUCGGCGGAAGCCCCCUGCGGGCACAACGCCGUCCCCCAAAUACAGUGGCGGUCCCGCCGCAGCUUCCAUUGCGUAGUAGCUAACACCUCGCAACUGGAGAGCGGCGCGGCCAUGCCGUAAAACACCCAACUUCUGAAUGUUGACCUCGAAUCAGGUAGGAAUACCCGCUGAACUUAAGCAUAUCAAUAAGCGGAGGA
rnacentral:misc_RNA from 1 species